rnacentral:lncRNA from 1 species
UAAAUACAUUUUCAUAAUCAGACUUGCAAUGACACUAAUAUUUCUCUGAUGAACAGUGGAAGUAUCAUCAAGGGUAAUAUGCAGUAAUAUGAGCUGUAAUCUAGUAAGUGUCAAUGGUUUCCAUGGUACUAAAAUCUUUUUGAACAUGUUCCUAUUUCUGUUUGUAUAACAAGCUUGUCAGUUUGCUCAGGUUUCGUUCAUUUAUUUGUGUAGUUGCACAGUGGACAAUUAUUUUAUCUUCUUUUUCAGGCAAAGGAUAAAAUAUCCCAUAGUUUAAUCUCCGUAACACACAGCCAUAGAAUUUCCAUGAAUUAAUUGGUAACUGUAGUUAAAAUAUAUUAAAUGCAACAGUUAGGCCCUAUUGCCAAUUAUUUUUAAUGUUUAAAACACAUUUAGGCCAAAGACUUUAGGAGCAAAUUAAUCUCUAAGCAGGACAAUUAAAACCCAGGGUUAGAACUAUUAGAGUUCUAGAUAAAUUCUGGAAUUUCUGUAGAUUCCUGGAAUGUUAUUGCAGUGAUGAAACAGUCACAUAAUUAUCUGUGUUUCAGAGAAGAAUGUAUGCCUUUCAUGGAAGGCAUGGGGAAAUGCUUUUUGGCUACCCAUUUGAACUCACCUUGGAGCCUGCCAUAUGAAGAGAGAUGAACAAAUGUGUAAUGGUGUUCAGAUGAAUAGGAGUGCAUUCACCAGAUCAGCAGCAGAUUCAAAGAAGAGAAGUGGUGGUGUUUGUGGACCAGGAUAUUCACAGCCAUGGAAGCACUUCUUGCAGAUGCAACUCCUGGGCUUCUGCAUGGGAGCACCUCUGUAUUUACUUGUAUUUUAAGAUGCAUCAAGCAGCUGUGGGACUUGUAGAUGAAGUUUUUACUCUGGGCUCAAAGACACAUUAAGCUGUCUAUGAAGUGAAGGACAUCUGCAGUCACUAGUCUGGUAGUCUCCAAACUGGCCACACCAUUUGGUCUGCACUCUUAUACAGGUAGGUAAACAUUUAAACUAUGUUAUACAGGCAUACAUACAAUAUUUGAUGAAAUGUUCUCUUAAAUACUAUUCAGAAAAAAAAAGCCAUAGUUUUUGCAGUUGCUUAAAUGAUGAUAGCAUGCAUGCUUUCGAUACUUUUAAGGAACACUGGGAUAUAUAAUUAUUUCUCUAUAAAAUUAUUUCUAAAAAAUUUUCCAUUGUAGGCUGGAUUGUAUACAGUGUACAACUGUGUAGUAGUGACUUUUGUAAGUCCUUAGAAAAAUACAAUGUUCUUAAAAUGGCUUCAUUCAUUGCAGAAGUAGUUUUAAAAAUAUUUAAUUUACAGUACUUCUUCAGCUUCCUGUGCAGCCUGUCUUGAAAAGAUCACCUGUUUGAGCAUUUUGCCUUAAAUCUUAGCCACUUCAGAGAUUGUUAUAAAAUACUGUGAAGAAAUGGUCUAGUUUUUAAGUCUCUAUUCAGCAAAAAGGAACAAAUCCAAAGAAGAUUAUAAACAGAGAGAGUAUGUUUAUAUUUGGGAGUCCACAGUGUAUUGGUUUAGAAAGCUUUUCUACAUUCUAGCCAUGGAGCUUUAUAAACACGGAUUGAUUCAUUAUUUUUGAUCUGCUGGAACAGUAAUCAUCCUCUUAAUGGCUUUGGUACUCUUCUGUUCAAGCAGUGGUGUGAUGCUGAACUACCUAUAGCUGAUCU